rnacentral:rRNA from 1 species
UACGGGGGGGGCAAGCGUUGUUCGGAAUUACUGGGCGUAAAGCGCGUGUAGGCGGCUCUUCAAGUCGAGUGUGAAAGCUCCAGGCUUAACCUGGGAAUUGCGCUCGAUACUGUUGAGCUAGAGUGUGGAAGGGGCUACUGGAAUUCCGUGUGUAGCGGUGAAAUGCGUAGAUAUACGGAGGAACACCUGCGGCGAAGGCGGGUAGCUGGGCCGUACCUGACGCUGAGGCGCGAAGGCUAGGGGAGCGAACGGG